rnacentral:lncRNA from 1 species
UUCUCCUCUCUGUUCAGGCUAGCCAGACCCAUACACAAUGACAGCCGCAAACAUUUGCUGAAUGCUAAUGGUGGGCCAGGCACUGCACUGUCUGCAUUCUCCCAUUUAAUCCUUAGGAUAAUGUGUAACACAGGCAUAAUUAUCACCAUGUUUCAUAAAUAUGGAAACGCAGGCGCAAAAGUGUACAGUCAUUUGCCCAAGGCCACACGGGGAAAUGAAAGUCUGCUGCUUCUGUUCUGUUUCUCCUCUCUGUAAGCACGUCCCUCUGCCCAGAAGGAACUGCACCUUGCCAAUUCUACAAAGCCAUAGGUCACGCUAAGUCUAAUACAGAGUGGACUGAACUCAGACCAGGGACCUUGUAAGGAUGACUAGACUCUGUAGUAGGGGCUGAAGAGAGAGAGGGCUUAGUAGUUUCAGGCUCGUGCUGCUCUUUCAGAACCAAUAGUCAGGUUGGGAAGCAUGUAGCUCUAACUCUGAGGGGGUGAGGGUGGGGGUGGGGCUCUGACAUGUUCUUCACACACAUGCUCCUGCCUCUCUGCCUCUUCCUCUGCAGACACAGACAGACACACACACGUGUGCGCACAGCACAUAUACAUACUCCCACCUCUCUGCCUCCUCCCCUGCUUCCUGCCACAGUGAGUUGAACAGGCCCCCCACCACACUCUGCUGCUGUAGACUGGACUACCUAUUCAUCUGGAAGACCCCAGAAUUGAGAUUGCUUGAUGUCUGCCUCAGUAGACGAGGGUGACCUGUUCAUCUGGAAGACCCCAGAAUUGGGAUUGCUUGCUGUCUGCCUCAGUAGACGAGGGUGACCUAUUCAUCUGGAAGACCCCAGAGGCAAGUGCCAUCCUCUCUAACCUCCAUCACCUUCUGGAGGCCUUGCCUACCAAGUUCUUCACUGCACACCCUUCCCUGCCUGUGCUGUGGCAGGAAGUCUCUGCACACACUGAAGGAACAGCGAAGUCGGGUACUGUGGAACACUCCUUCCUGCGUGUUCUCCAUGCCUUCUUGAGAGGCAGAUGUAGAAGAAUCAGAGGUUCAACUACAUAGCAGGCU